rnacentral:rRNA from 1 species
UACGAAGGGGGCUAGCGUUGCUCGGAAUCACUGGGCGUAAAGGGUGCGUAGGCGGGACGGCACGUCGGUCGCUGAAAGCCCCCGGCUCAACCGGGGAACGGGCGCCGAUACGACCGGCCUGGAGGGACGUAGGGGGACCUGGAACUUCCGGUGGAGCGGUGAAAUGCGUUGAGAUCGGAAGGAACGCCCGUGGCGAAAGCGAGGUCCUGGACGUUUUCUGACGCUGAGACGCGAAAGCCAGGGGAGCGAACGGG